GCCAGGCACCGUGGUGUAUGCCUGUAAUCCCAGUGGCUUAGGAGGCUGAGGCAAGAGGAUCGCUAGUUCAAAGCCAGCCUCAGCAAUUUAGCAAGGCCCUAACUCAGUGAGACUCUGUCUCUA
rnacentral:sRNA from 1 species